GAUGAAGAACGUAGCGAAAUGCGAUAAGUAAUGUGAAUUGCAGAAUUCAGUGAAUCAUCGAAUCUUUGAACGCACAUUGCGCCCGCGAGUAUUCUCGCGGGCAUGCCUGUCCGAGCGUCAUUUCAACCCUCAGGGCCCGCCUGCUUGCAGGCGCGGCGCUGGUGUUGGGGAUCGGCUACCCUGCCGUCCCCCAAAUACAGUGGCGGUCUCGCUGCAGCCUCCCCUGCGUAGUAGCAACACUCGCAUGCGGAGCGCGGCGCGGCCACGCCGUAAAACCCCCGACUUUCUGAACGUUGACCUCGGAUCAGGUAGGAAUACCCGCUGAACUUAAGCAUAUCAAUAAGGAGGA
rnacentral:misc_RNA from 1 species